rnacentral:rRNA from 1 species
AUUGAACGCUGGCGGCAGGCCUAACACAUGCAAGUCGAACGGUAGCACAGAGAGCUUGCUCUCGGGUGACGAGUGGCGGACGGGUGAGUAAUUUCUGGGAAACUGCCCGAUGGAGGGGGAUAACUACUGUAAACGGUAGCUAAUACCGCAUAAUGUCGCAAGACCAAAGAGGGGGACCUUCGGGCCUCUUGCCAUCGGAUGUGCCCAGAUGGGAUUAGCUUGUUGGUGAGGUAAUGGCUCACCAAGGCGACGAUCCCUAGCUGGUCUGAGAGGAUGACCAGACACACUGGAACUGAGACACGGUCCAGACUCCUACGGGAGGCAGCAGUGGGGAAUAUUGCACAAUGGGCGCAAGCCUGAUGCAGACAUGUCGCGUGUGUGAAGAAGGCGUUCGGGUUGUAAAGAAAUUUCAGCGGGGAGGAAGGCAAUGCGGUUAAUAACCGUUUUGAUUGACGUUAGCCGCAGAAGAAGCACCGGCUAACUCCGUG